GACGAACGCUGGCGGCGUGCUUAACACAUGCAAGUCGAACGGAAAGGCCCUGCUUGCAGGGUACUCGAGUGGCGAACGGGUGAGUAACACGUGGGUGAUCUGCCCUGCACUUCGGGAUAAGCCUGGGAAACUGGGUCUAAUACCGGAUAGGAGCCGUUUUUAGUGUGAUGGUUGGAAAGUUUUUUCGGUGUAGGAUGAGCUCGCGGCCUAUCAGCUUGUUGGUGGGGUAAUGGCCUACCAAGGCGGCGACGGGUAGCCGGCCUGGGAGGGUGGACGGCCAAAUUGGGCCUAGGAUAGGGCCCGGCCUCCACCGGGGGGCAGAGGUGGGAAAUAUUGCCCAAUGGGGGCAAGCCUGAGGAGGCGACCCCGCGUGGGGAUGACGGCCUUCGGGUUGUAAACUCCUUUCGCUAGGGACGAAGCUUUUUGUGACGGUACCUAGAUAAGAAGCACCGGCUAACUACGUG
rnacentral:rRNA from 1 species